AGAACCGUGGACAGCAACAUUUCCCACAGGACACGAAGUUUGUCGGCCCUUGCCUUGGCAGAGCUGAGUAAGAAAAAUCACCAAGAAUAUUAUUUUUGGUAUUUGGAAUUGAAUUUGCCAGGAAUGCAAGCACUGCUACCUAACUAAAGACCUUGGCUUUGGAAACAUCUUACCCCUUGGCAGCUCUCCAGAGUUUAGACUUGGCAGCAUCAAAGACACAACGCAAGGUGUGUUUAUUUGAUUUAACAUUUUGCAAAAGGUGUUUUGAUUUGUGGUUUGUUUUCUUUCACUUUGUACUUAUUGCUUUGGGUUGUUUUCUUCUGGCAAUGAACCUGGGUUCCAAGCAUAGGUUUUUCUUACGGAAGGCAGUUUUACAAUAAGGAAAUGUUUUUACUUGUAUUUAUUUUGUGAUAUUUCAGCAAAUCCAAAUAAAUGAAGUAACAUUUAUAAAGCUAUACAUUUAUAACUGAUUUAUUUGUUAAAUAUUUAGUAUUAUCAAUUGUCUAUUAAAGAUUUGUUGCUACAUUAAAUACUUGGUCUGUCUUGAUGU
rnacentral:sRNA from 1 species